rnacentral:misc_RNA from 1 species
CCUUUUAACAAUUGGCCAUUGAAACCAUUGAACUUGGAGGCCUUCUCCAUUUUGAGGUAGCAAGGUAUGUGAUAUUCAACUUUGGAUGUUUUCUAUAAAACAUCACCAUGUGUUAACCAUUAGAUUUAUAGUUAGCGGUUGAUUGCAUUGAAUUAUGAACUGAGUGAGUAUGGUCCUAGCAGAUUUUAUUAUUAUCUCUUUCACAGCCACAACACAUGUACUUAUCAAAGCCUUAAUGCGGCCACGAUUCACGGGCAAUAAAUUGUUGCU